rnacentral:rRNA from 1 species
GCAAGUCGAGGGGCAGCAUGAUUGAAGCUUGCUUCAAUUGAUGGCGACCGGCGCACGGGUGAGUAACGCGUAUCCAACCUUCCGUACACUCAGGGAUAGCCUUUCGAAAGAAAGAUUAAUACCUGAUGGUAUGAUGAGAUUGCAUGAUAGCAUCAUUAAAGAUUUAUCGGUGUACGAUGGGGAUGCGUUCCAUUAGGUAGUAGGCGGGGUAACGGCCCACCUAGCCUACGAUGGAUAGGGGUUCUGAGAGGAAGGUCCCCCACAUUGGAACUGAGACACGGUCCAAACUCCUACGGGAGGCAGCAGUGAGGAAUAUUGGUCAAUGGACGAGAGUCUGAACCAGCCAAGUAGCGUGAAGGAUGAAGGUCUUACGGAUUGUAAACUUCUUUUAUAAGGGAAUAAAACCUCCCACGUGUGGGAGCUUGUAUGUACCUUAUGAAUAAGCAUCGGCUAACUCCGUGCCAGCAGCCGCGGUAAUACGGAGGAUGCGAGCGUUAUCCGGAUUUAUUGGGUUUAAAGGGAGCGCAGACGGGUCGUUAAGUCAGCUGUGAAAGUUUGGGGCUCAACCUUAAAAUUGCAGUUGAUACUGGCGUCCUUGAGUGCGGUUGAGGUGUGCGGAAUUCGUGGUGUAGCGGUGAAAUGCUUAGAUAUCACGAAGAACUCCGAUUGCGAAGGCAGCACACUAAGCCGUAACUGACGUUCAUGCUCGAAAGUGUGGGUAUCAAACAGGAUUAGAUACCCUGGUAGUCCACACGGUAAACGAUGGAUACUCGCUGUUGGCGAUAUACAGUCAGCGGCUUAGCGAAAGCGUUAAGUAUCCCACCUGGGGAGUACGCCGGCAACGG